AGUGAACGCUGGCGGUAGGCCUAACACAUGCAAGUCGAACGGCAGCACAGUAAGAGCUUGCUCUUACGGGUGGCGAGUGGCGGACGGGUGAGGAAUACAUCGGAAUCUACUUUUUCGUGGGGGAUAACGUAGGGAAACUUACGCUAAUACCGCAUACGACCUACGGGUGAAAGCAGGGGAUCUUCGGACCUUGCGCGAUUGAAUGAGCCGAUGUCGGAUUAGCUAGUUGGCGGGGUAAAGGCCCACCAAGGCGACGAUCCGUAGCUGGUCUGAGAGGAUGAUCAGCCACACUGGAACUGAGACACGGUCCAGACUCCGACGGGAGGCAGCAGCGGGGAAUAUUGGACAAUGGGCGCAGCCUGAUCCAGCCAUACCGCGUGGGUGAAGAAGGCCUUCGGGUUGUAAAGCCCUUUUGUUGGGAAAGAAAAGCAGCAGGUUAAUACCCCGCUGUUCUGACGGUACCCAAAGAAUAAGCACCGGCUAACUUCGUG
rnacentral:rRNA from 1 species